rnacentral:misc_RNA from 1 species
UUUCCGUAGGUGAACCUGCGGAAGGAUCAUUAACGAAUAACUAUGGUGUCUUGGUUGUAGCUGGCUCCUCGGAGCAACGUGCACGCCCGCCAUUUUUAUCUUUCCACCUGUGCACCGACUGUAGGUCUGGAUGACUCCCGUACUCCGGUGCGGAUGCGAGGAUUGCUCUCGGGCUCUCCUCGAAUUUCCAGACUCUACGUCUUUUUACACACCCCAAACGUAUGAUACAGAAUGUAGUCAAUGGGCUUGAUCGCCUAUAAAACACUAUACAACUUUCAGCAACGGAUCUCUUGGCUCUC